UUAUCAUCCGGUGAUGGAGUUCCGCCGUUAACCUCCUUGCAAAAGGCUGAUGACUCCUGCUGAAAA
rnacentral:ncRNA from 2 species